rnacentral:tRNA from 1 species
GGGGUUGUGGCUCAGUGGUAGAGCGCUUGCCUGGCACGAGCAAGGCCCUGGAUUUGAUCCUCAGCACCA